rnacentral:rRNA from 1 species
AGUGAACGCUGGCGGUAGGCCUAACACAUGCAAGUCGAACGGCAGCACAGUAAGAGCUUGCUCUUACGGGUGGCGAGUGGCGGACGGGUGAGGAAUACAUCGGAAUCUACUUUUUCGUGGGGGAAAACGAAGGGAAACUUACGCUAAUACCGCAUACCAUCCACGGGUGAAAGCAGGGGAUCUUUGGACCUUGUGCGAUUGAACGAGCCGAUGUCGGAUUGGCUAGUUGGCGGGGUAAAGGCCCACCAAGGCGAGGGUCCGUAGCUGGUGUGAUAGGAUGAUCAGCCACACUGGAACUGAGACACGGUCCAGACUCCUACGGGAGGCAGCAGUGGGGAAUAUUGGACAAUGGGCGCAAGUCUGAUCCAGCGAUACCGCGUGGGUGGAGAAGGCGUUCGGGUUGUAAAGCCCUUUUGUUGGGAAAGAAAAGCAGCAGGUUAAUACGCCGCUGUUCUGACGGUACCCAAAGAAUAAGCACCGGCUAACUUCGUG